UACGGAGGGGGCUAGCGUUGUUCGGAAUUACUGGGCGUAAAGCGCGCGUAGGCGGAUCUGCAAGUCGGGGGGUGAAAUCCCGAGGCUCAACCUCGGAACUGCCUUCGAUACUGCGGGUCUCGAGUCCGGGAGAGGUGAGUGGAAUUCCUAGUGUAGAGGUGAAAUUCGUAGAUAUCAGGAGGAACACCAGCGGCGAAGGCGGCGCUCUGGGCCGGAA
rnacentral:rRNA from 1 species